rnacentral:rRNA from 1 species
AGGCCACUGCUAUCAGAGUUCGAUUAAGCCAUGCGAGUCGAGAGGUGUAAGACCUCGGCAUACUGCUCAGUAACACGUGGACAACCUACCCUAAGGAGGGGGAUAACCCCGGGAAACUGGGGAUAAUACCCCAUAGACUAUGGAUGCUGGAAUGCUUCGUAGUUCAAAGGUCCGCCGCCUUAGGAUGGGUCUGCGGCCGAUUAGGUUGUUGUUGGGGUAACGGCCCAACAAGCCUGUAAUCGGUACGGGUUGUGGGAGCAAGAGCCCGGAGAUGGAUUCUGAGACACGAAUCCAGGCCCUACGGGGCGCAGCAGGCGCGAAAACUUUACAAUGCGAGAAAUCGUGAUAAGGGAACUCUGAGUGCCCGUAAAAUCGGGCUGUCCAUCUGUUUAAAUAACAGGUGAAGAAAGGGCCGGGCAAGACCGGUGCCAGCCGCCGCGGUAAUACCGGCGGCUCGAGUGGUGGCCACUAUUACUGGGCUUAAAGCGUCCGUAGCUGGUCUGUUAAGUCUCUGGGGAAAUCUUCCGGCUCAACCGGAAGGCGUCUCAGGGAUACUGGCAGACUAGGGACCGGGAGAGGUGAGAGGUACUCCAGGGGUAGGAGUUAAAUCCUGUAAUCCUUGGGGGACCACCUGUGGCGAAGGCGUCUCACCAGAACGGCUCCGACAGUGAGGGACGAAAGCUGGGGGAGCAAACCGGAUUAGAUACCCGGGUAGUCCCAGCCGUAAACUAUGCGCGUUAGGUGUAUCGGUGACCACGAGUCACCGAGGUGCCGAAGAGAAAUCGUGAAACGCGCCGCCUGGGAAGUACGGUCGCAAGGCUGAAACUUAA